rnacentral:rRNA from 1 species
UACGGGGGGGGCAAGCGUUGUUCGGAAUUACUGGGCGUAAAGGGUUCGUGGGUGGCCUGCUAAGUCACACGUGAAAUCCCUCAGCUUAACUGGGGAACUGCGUGUGAUACUGGCGAGCUUGAGUGCAGGAGAGGAACGCGGAAUUCCAGGUGUAGCGGUGAAAUGCGUAGAUAUCUGGAGGAACACCGGUGGCGAAGGCGGCGUUCUGGACUGCAACUGACACUGAUGAACGAAAGCCAGGGGAGCAAACGGG